UCCGAUAUGGUGUAACGGCUAACAUUACCGCCUUUCACGUCCCCGGUCACGUGAUGGGUUACGUAAGCUCGCGGUAGCUCGGGGUUCGAUUCCCCGUAUCGGAG